rnacentral:rRNA from 1 species
AUUGAACGCUGGCGGCAUGCCUUACACAUGCAAGUCGAACGGCAGCACGGGGGCAACCCUGGUGGCGAGUGGCGAACGGGUGAGUAAUGCAUCGGAACGUGCCCAGUAGUGGGGGAUAACCCGGCGAAAGCCGGGCUAAUACCGCAUACGACCUACGGGUGAAAGCGGGGGACCGUAAGGCCUCGCGCUAUUGGAGCGGCCGAUGUCUGAUUAGCUAGUUGGCGGGGUAGAGGCCCACCAAGGCGACGAUCAGUAGCUGGUCUGAGAGGACGACCAGCCACACUGGGACUGAGACACGGCCCAGACUCCUACGGGAGGCAGCAGUGGGGAAUUUUGGACAAUGGGCGCAAGCCUGAUCCAGCCAUGCCGCGUGCGGGAAGAAGGCCUUCGGGUUGUAAACCGCUUUUGGCAGGAACGAAACGGCGCAAGCCAAUACCUUGCGCUAAUGACGGUACCUGCAGAAUAAGCACCGGCUAACUACGUGCCAGCAGCCGCGGUAAAAC